CGGAGGAUCCAAGCGUUAUCCGGAAUCAUUGGGUUUAAAGGGUCCGUAGGCGGUUUAUUAAGUCAGUGGUGAAAUCUGGUCGCUCAACGAUCAAACGGCCAUUGAUACUGAUAGACUUGAAUUAUUGGGAAGUAACUAGAAUAUGUAGUGUAGCGGUGAAAUGCUUAGAUAUUACAUGGAAUACCAAUUGCGAAGGCAGGUUACUACCAAUGGAUUGACGCUGAUGGACGAAAGCGUGGGGAGCGAACAGGAUUAGAUACCCUGUAGUCCACGCCGUAAACGAUGGAUACUAGCUGUUCGGAGCAAUCUGAGUGGCUAAGCGAAAGUGAUAAGUAUCCCACCUGGGGAGUACGUUCGCAAGAAUG
rnacentral:rRNA from 1 species